rnacentral:tRNA from 1 species
GGCCCAAUAGCUCAAUUGGAUAGAGCGACAGCCUUCUAAGCUGUAGGUUUCUGGUUCGAUCCCAGAUUGGGUCA